UAGGGAAUCUUCGGCAAUGGACGAAAGUCUGACCGAGCAACGCCGCGGGAGUGAAGAAGGUUUUCGGAUCGUAAAACUCUGUUGUUAGAGAAGAAUAAGGAUUAGAGUAAAAAGUAAGACCAU
rnacentral:rRNA from 1 species